AUCCUGAUUUUUUACAGCUACUUGAGGAACCCAUGAAGGAACCCAUGCAUAUUUCUGGUCACAGGCUGCCCAAUUAUAAGAUUUGUGUGUGGUAUUACAACAGAAAUCAAGCAUGAAAAGUGGACUAUAAAGGCUGCAGGAGGCAUGUACCUUACCAGAAGACAAUUUCCUCUGAAACUUGCUUGGGCUUUUUCUAUACACAAAUCACAGGGUAUGACUUUGGACUGCGCAGAAAUGUCCCUCUCCAAAGUCUUUGAAUCUGGUCAAGCAUACGUGGCACUGUCUCGAGCCAAGAACCUCAAGAGUAUAAGGGUACUGGAUUUUAAUCCCACAUGUAUACGUGCACAUCCAGAUGUUUUGAAGUUUUACCAAAGACUUUGCCAAUGUGAUGUGCUGAGCAGUAACUGAUU